ACGGAAGGCAGCAGUGGGGAAUAUUGCACAAUGGGCGAAAGCCUGAUGCAGCGACGCCGCGUGAGCGAAGAAGUUAUUCGUAAUGUAAAGCUCUAUCAGCAGGGAAGAAAAUGACGGUACCUGACUAAGAAGCUCCGGCUAAAUACGUGCCAGCAGCCGCGGUAAUACGUAUGGAGCAAGCGUUAUCCGGAUUUACUGGGUGUAAAGGGAGCGUAGACGGAAUUGCAAGUCUGAUGUGAAAUUCCGGGGCUUAACCCCGUAUCUGCAUUGGAAACUGUAAUUCUGGAGUGCCGGAGAGGUAAGCGGAAUUCCUAGUGUAGCGGUGAAAUGCGUAGAUAUUAGGAGGAACACCAGUGGCGAAGGCGGCUUACUGGACUGUAACUGACGUUGAGGCUCGAAAGCGUGGGGAGCAAACAGGAUUAGAUACCCUGGUA
rnacentral:rRNA from 1 species